rnacentral:rRNA from 1 species
CGAAUCACAAAACUCGGUCUCAGUUCAGAUUGCAGGCUGCAACUCGCCUGCAUGAAGUUGGAAUUGCUAGUAAUCGCGAAUCAGAAUGUCGCGGUGAAUACGUUCCCGGGCCUUGUACACACCGCCCGUCACACCAUGAGAGUCGAUAACACCCGAAGCCUGUGAGCUAACCUUUUAGGAGGCAGCAGUCGAAGGUGGGGUUGAUGAUUGGGGUGAAGUCGUAACAAGGUAAC